rnacentral:lncRNA from 1 species
CAAGACUGGUUGCCUGGUUGGAGUGUUCUUGCAUCUCUUUCACAGAUGGGACAACUCCUCGGCCUUAUACAGGGGGUUCUUCUCACAGAGGUGACAGCGUGGAAACUUAGAAGUGAACAGAACAUCCAGUUUGUUCUCAUAACAACACAAUGUUAGUUUGUACCACGUGUGCUACACAGUACCUAGAAGUCUUCUGGUAACUGCCAAAGCAGUAAAGAAAAUUCCUGAUCCUAUGCCUGAGAGAACUGGAUUUUAAUUCUUCUAUUGUAAAAGAUUUGCUGCCCUAAUGUAGAUUUAUUAAUGCACUACAAAGAUGGGAAGGUUUUUGUUUUUAAUAUAUAGUGUGAGAAUUCAGAGUUCCCAAUACUUUGACUCACACUUUCUCUUUCAUUUUCCGAAGAAUCCAGUUCAACCCCAGUAAUCAUUUAAACAUCGUCCUCUGUUGCUUUCUGGUCAAUCAUCUUCUAUUGCCUCCGUCUCUUGCAGUCAGGGCUCUUUGUAGCUGACAUCUUUUGAAAGUAAUAAUUUCUUACCAGAAGUUCUU